rnacentral:rRNA from 1 species
CAACGCCGCGUGAGGGAUGAAGGCCUCUGGGCUGUAAACCUCUUUUAUCAAGGAAGAAGAUCUGACGGUACUUGAUGAAUAAGCCACGGCUAAUUCCGUGCCAGCAGCCGCGGUAAUACGGGAGUGGCAAGCGUUAUCCGGAAUUAUUGGGCGUAAAGGCGUCCGCAGGCGGUCUUGAAAGUCUGUUGUUAAAGCGUGGAGCUCAACUCCAUUUCAGCAAUGGAAACUAGAAGACUAGAGUGUGGUAGGGGCAGAGGGAAUUCCCGGUGUAGCGGUGAAAUGCGUAGAUAU